rnacentral:rRNA from 1 species
CACGAACAUUCUCCCCCAAAUCUCAGCCCCCAACCUAGCUCUCUCUCCAUCGGCCGGCGGCUGGCUGCUCCCUGAAUCCCUCGCCGUCGGCUGCGCCCCCAAAUCCCUCGCCUAUUCCAUUCUCUCGUUCGCCCCCUCCGCCCCCAAAUCCCUCGCCUCUUCCAUCCUCUCGUCCGUCCCCUCCGCCUGAUUCACUGGUCAGUAGCCCAAUGACCGCUACCUCCGAAGUGUUGCCGGCAAAGCUUCCCGCGGCUUCCAGAAGAGGGUCGUCGUCAACGACCCCGUGGCCGCCGUCACUCGACCACUGCAUCCGUCCCUGAGCGGCGCCCUUUCCAAUCCAGGUUACAGGACUUCUGAAGUUAUUUCACUUGUUGACGAGAAAGAAAACAUAGUUAAACUGCUGAUUGUCAAGGAUUAGAUCUUGGAUUUGCUAGUGGAUUUUGGGAGUUUCUUAGCCUGCUUGGUGACUCCAUAUUUUUCACUAUUUCAACAAGUCUUUGGUAAGCAUUAAACUUUCAGCAUUACAUUUUUAUCUUAUGUGUACAUCUGUUUGCUUCCAAUUGCUAUAUAUGUAUUGUUGUUGCUAAAUAACUCAUAUUAAGUAUGAUAUGUUGAGGUUAAAUAAGCAAAUAGCUGAUCUAAUCCAUUUUCAACACAGAAUUUGUUAAAUGGUAGAUCAUGCAUGGAUGUAUAAUGGUUGGCAGUAUGGUCAAAUUCCCUCUAACCUAUGGCUUGAACAAACCAACCGAUUUCUAGAGCAUGCAUUCUCCUUUCCCGGCGUAGCCGAAGGUGGUAAAAUCAGGUGUCCAUGUGCCAAGUGUCGUAAUUAUAAUAAGCACGGUAGGGAUGAGGUAGAGAAACACUUGUAUAAAUACGGGUUCAGGGAAAACUAUGAAACGUGGAUAGAACAUGGUGAGAAGUAUGUUCCUAGCCAACAGGGAUCUUCCUCUGCCACAAACUGUGCGAGGCAUGAUGAAAUUUUUCCAGGCGUAGCCAAAGGUGGUAAUUCCUGAUAAAACUAAAGAUAAUGUGAAGGCAAGAAAAGAUCUAGCUGAAAUUUGCAACCAUCCUUCGAUGCACUUGAAAUUGAAGGACAAUGGGAAGUGGGAGAAGCCAAGAGCACCUUUUGUCAUCGAUAAGAAGGAUGUGAUAACCAUUCUGAAAUGGUUCCAAGAGCUGAAGUUCCCCGAUGGGUAUGCAUCAAGCUUUAGACGGGGAUUUAGCCUACUACACAGAAAGAUUUUUGGCUUCAAAAGUCAUGAUUACCAUAUCUUCAUGGAACGCCUACUUCCUGUUGCAUUUCGUGGCUUCCUUCCAGAGGACAUAUGGAAGUGUCUAGCAGAGCUAAGUUAUUUCUAUAGGCAGCUAUGUGCAAAAGAACUUAGCAAGGAUACCAUACGUUCACUUGAGGAGAAUGUUGUUGUUCUUGUAUGCAAAUUGGAGAAGAUAUUCCCUCCUGGUUUCUUCAAUCCCAUGCAACAUUUAAUCAUACAUCUUCCAUACCAAGCUCGGCUAGGAGGUCCUGUAUUAGCUCGAUGGAUGUACAUCUAUGAAAGGAUGAUUACUGUGAUUUGGCUAGAGCCACACAUCCUGAUGAUUGGGAGGAGCGAGAGUUAGAUGGGCAAAUGUUAUAUGAGUCAUCAAGUGGCAUUCCUCAUGGGCGACUAGCAAUAGCGGAUGGAGCAAUUAAGAAGGCUGAUGUUAUCUCAAUAGCUAGAGAGAAGAAACUGAGGCCGUUAUCUUCAACAUCAUUUCGGCGAACUAUUCAAAAAAACGAAGAACUGAAGCGAUGAGAUAUUCAAGAAAACGAAGAACUGAAGCGACGUAAUGUGAACCUUCAAAAGAUAGUGGAUAUGCAUGGAAGACUUUUCUUGGCCCUUUUUAAGGAGAUGGGAAAAGAACUACCAGAGGAGCUACGCCAAGGAGAAAGUUUCCAACCACAUGGGGGCACUAAUUCAUCUCAAAUUGGAACCCAAGCACUUGAUGACAACACCGGUGAUGGUGAUUUGGGUGGGACUUUUGGCGGUGACAACUCCAAUGGGAAUAUUGGCGACAUGGCUAUUGGUGCAACUAACCUUCACUCCAAUUGAACAAUUUUGGAGCUAAUGGUGGUGUUGGUAACAGAGUAGCAUUUUGGAAGUUGCAAUAGACACUAGGGGCAGGUUAUCUACUUCUGUGAAGUAUGUUGUAUUUUGUUUGUAAUGCACUGGAGCUUAUCCUUGAAACUUGCAAGUUGAACAAUUUAUCUUUUGUUGUCGAGAACAGUUAUGUACUUAGAUGUGCAAAACUAAAUCUUAUCAGUCCAAUUUAUGGUAGUGGUUGACACAAGGAUCAUCAUGGUAUAAUUUGUGUUGAUA